GACCGAUGCGUCCCGCGCUCUAGGCGAAGACCGCGGCCCCGUCCCCGCGCCUCCACCGCCUUCUUCCAGGAGGAGGGGCCGUGCGGCGCCUGCCCGGGGGCCCUCAGGCCGCAGGCGGGCGCGAGCUUCAGGGAACUUAGGGGGCUCCCGCCUCCCCGGCCACGCGAGCGGGAACAGUCUCCUCCACUCGGAGCGGCGCCAUCUUCAGCUCUGAGUCACCAGGGCUGGAAAAAUACUAGAUGCGCUACUCGUGGACUCGUGAAUACACUCGUGAAUACAGGCCAUUUCCUGUACCUACAGCCACCCGCUCAUCUACCACAGUGUCUAUGAAAUAGUUGGCAUUUCAUGAACAUUUGUUGAAUGAAUAAUGGAUAACAUAUAUUGAGCUCCUUCUAGGAGCCACUCAUCAUGCCUUACCUGGAUGAUGCAGAAGUCCCUGGAAACAGAAGGUCUCACCCUUCUUUAUCUUUCUCAUGGCUUUCCAAGGCUCUUUAUCAUGUUACUUUCCUGCUCAGAAUUCUUUAAUGACUUGCCUCAAUGACCAGAUACAUGUGAUCUACAGUCAGCCUUCCAGCCUCAUCAUUCCUCUUCCAUUUCCUCCCCAGAAACACUGUACUUUAUGAAGCUCCUCCAAGACUGCUCUCUCAGCAGCUGGGACCCGGUCUUGGAAUCUUAGUGUCAACUAUGAUGAAUCACCAACACUAACAAAAACAUUAUCUUUUAUUGGGUUAAAUAGUUUCUACUCUUCCCAAGACUGGGAACUGAUGUAACAGGCUUCGUGCUUUCUUCCCAACAAAUUGAUUCUGUGUGGUCAGCUCCUGUCAUGAUGAUAGAACCCCCUGUAUUGAUUUAUACUUAGGGGUAUAUCAAUGUCAGUCUAAACUUGUCCUACCUA
rnacentral:lncRNA from 1 species